GAUAAAAUCAAUAGUGUAGUGUAACCUUUAUGUAUAUUUUCUUUGGGUUAAGUAAGUUUUCUCCACGAGAGGAAGCCAGAGAUACUGGCAGUUUUGUAGUAGAUCGUAUCGGGAGAUAUCGACACGUAUAAUUGAAUGGCAUAUUAAUUUAGUGUCAUAACAGCUUCAUUAGAUAUCCAUAUUCUAUUAGACAAAUCUCAUAUUUCACCAGGUCCUCCAGUCCCGGUUUGAGAGCGAAAGCCAGAGUUUGAUUGGGGUAACGUGUCUAAAGUACCAGAUACUUUGACGUUUCACUGUUACUGCCAUUCCAGUGGUUACACGGGUUGGACAUGUUUUGAUGUGUAAAUGACAAAAUAAAAAUAUCGAACGA